CACGUGAGAAACCUACCCUGGAGUGGGGAAUAACUCGAAGAAAUUCGAGCUAAUACCGCAUACCUUCUUACCGUCGAAUGGUGGUUUGAAGAAAGAUUUAUCGCUCUGGGAGGGUCUCGCGGCCUAUCAGCUAGUUGGUGAGGUAACGGCUCACCAAGGCAUCGACGGGUAGCUGGUCUGAGAGGACGAUCAGCCACACUGGAACUGAGACACGGUCCAGACUCCUACGGGAGGCAGCAGUAGGGAAUCUUGCGCAAUGGGCGAAAGCCUGACGCAGCAAUGCCGCGUGCGGGACGAAGGCCCUAGGGUCGUAAACCGCUUUCAGUAGGGACGAAAAUGACGGUACCUGCAGAAGAAGCUCCGGCCAACUACGUG
rnacentral:rRNA from 1 species